rnacentral:rRNA from 1 species
UGGGGAAUUUUGGACGAAUUGGGCGAAAGCCUGAAUCCAGCAAUGCCGCGUGUGUGAAGAAGGCCUUCGGGUUGUAAAGCACUUUUGUCCGGAAAGAAAUCCUUGGCUCUAAUACAGUCGGGGGAUGACGGUACCGGAAGAAUAAGCACCGGCUAACUACGUGCCAGCAGCCGCGGUAAUACGUAGGGUGCAAGCGUUAAUCGGAAUUACUGGGCGUAAAGCGUGCGCAGGCGGUUUGCUAAGACCGAUGUGAAAUCCCCGGGCUCAACCUGGGAACUGCAUUGGUGACUGGCAGGCUAGAGUAUGGCAGAGGGGGGUGAGAAUUCCACGUGUAGCAGUGAAAUGCGUAGAGAUGUGGAGGAAUACCGAUGGCGAAGGCAGCCCCCUGGCCAAGUACUGACGCUCAUGCACGAAAGCGU